GAGUUUGAUCCUGGCUCAGAUUGGACGCUGGCGGCAGGCCUAACACAUGCAAGUCGAGCGGAUGACGGGAGCUUGCUCCUUGAUUCAGCGGCGGACGGGUGAGUAAUGCCUAGGAAUCUGCCUGGUAGUGGGGGACAACGUUUCGAAAGGAACGCUAAUACCGCAUACGUCCUACGGGAGAAAGCAGGGGACCUUCGGGCCUUGCGCUAUCAGAUGAGCCUAGGUCGGAUUAGCUAGUUGGUGGGGUAAUGGCUCACCAAGGCGACGAUCCGUAACUGGUCUGAGAGGAUGAUCAGUCACACUGGAACUGAGACACGGUCCAGACUCCUACGGGAGGCAGCAGUGGGGAAUAUUGGACAAUGGGCGGAAGCCUGAUCCAGCCAUGCCGCGUGUGUGAAGAAGGUCUUCGGAUUGUAAAGCACUUUAAGUUGGGAGGAAGGGCAGUAAGUUAAUACCUUGCUGUUUUGACGUUACCGACAGAAUAAGCACCGGCUAACUCUGUGCCAGCAGCCG
rnacentral:rRNA from 1 species